AAAAAAAACCACUGCUUUUGGUGGAUACCUAAGGACUCAAAGAUGAUGAAGGGCGUGUUAACCUGCGAAAAUUUUUGGUUAGUUGGAAAAAAACUUUAAUCCAAAAGUUCCCCAAUGGAGCAAUCCUUAAAACUACUGAAAAAAUUCAUAAAUCGGUAAGAAAAAACUUAGUGAACUGAAACAUCUUAUUAACUAAAGGAAAAGAAAGCAAACGCAAUUUCCGAAGUAGCGGCGAGCGAAAUGGAAAAAGUCUAAACUGAGCAAAUCAGGGUAGUGGGACUUUAAUGAAGAUAACAAAUAAAAAAUAAAAAACAGCUGAAACCUGUACCAAAGAUGGUGAAAGUCCAGUUUUAUUUUUUUUUUUACUUAUCUGAAGUAUCCCAAGUAGCUUGGGGCACGUGGAAUCCCUUGUGAAUCAGCGAGGACCACCUCGUAAGACUAAAUACUCUUGAGUCACUGAUAGCGAAAAGUACCGUGAGGGAAAGGUGAAAGAGACCCCCUGUCGGGGAGUGAAAUAGAUCAUGAAACCUGAAGCAAUCAAUCUGUGGGAGGAAAUAUCUGACCACAUGCCUGUUGAAGAAUGAGCCGGCGACUCAUGAUUUUUGGCUUGGUUAAAGAAAAUUUCUGUAGCCUGAGUGAAAACAAGUCUGAAAAAGGCGAAAAGUCAAAAAUUAUGGACCCGAACCCGAGUGAUCUAACCAUGACCAGGAAGAAUCUUGGGUAAAACUAAGUGGAUGUCCGAACCGACCGAUGUUGAAAAAUCGACGGAUGAGUUGUGGUUAGAGGUGAAAUGCUAAUCGAACUCGGAGCUAGCUGGUUCUCCCCGAAAUGCGUUGUGGCGCAGCAUUUAUAGAUGUCCUAUACCUGAAUAGGUAGAGCACUGUUUCGAUGCGGGCCAGUCAAAAGGUACCAAAUUGUGGCAAACUCCAAAUUAUUCAGAUUUAUACCUAUAAAAAGUGAGACUUUGGGGGAUAAGCUCCAGGGUCAAGAGGGAAACAGCCCAGACCAUCAGUUAAGGCCCCUAAAUAAUAGCUAAGUGUUAAAGGAAGUUUCCAUGCUGAAACAACCAGAAGGUUCGCUUAGAAGCAGCUAUCCUUGAAAGAAUGCGUAAUAGCUCACUGGUUAUUUCUGUUGAAGAAUAAGCGUGGAUGCGCCGAAAAUGUCCGGGACUAAGUUAUUUGCCGAAACUGUGGCCUCCGCGUGUCGCGCGGAGAGGUAGGGGAGCGUUCUGUUAUGAGGUGAAGGAUUUUUGAAAAAAAAUGAUAGAUCGAACAGAAGUGAGAAUGUCGGCUUGAGUAACGAAAACAUUAGUGAGAAUCUAAUGCCCCGAAAGCCUAAGGUUUCCUCUUCAAGGCUCGUCCAGAGAGGGUUAGUCAGGACCUAAGAUUAGGCUGAAAAGCGUCAUCGAUGGAAAACAGGUCAAUAUUCCUGUACUUAUUUUUAUUUUGAGACAAGGGACGAAGGCAACAAGUUCAAGCUCUUCAAAUGGUUCAGAGUGGAAAUGUUCAACAUAUGGUUCGAAAAAAAAAACGAACUUGGACGGCUAGCUUGCUAACCGCGUCAGUAUGAAGACAUGAUACGUUAUUUGAUAAAUUUAUUUAUUAAAUAAUUUGAAUUUUGUUAUACUUCCUAGAAAAGCUUGAGACUCUAUAUAAUAAAAAUAACCUGUACCGUAAACCGACACAGGUAGGUAAGUUGAGUAAACUCAGGGGCGCGAGAUAACUCUCUCUAAGGAACUCGGCAAAAUAGCCCCGUAACUUCGGGAGAAGGGGUGUAUUUGUCUUUCCCUGAAAGACAAAUACCGCAGUGAACAAAUUCAUUGAACUUUUUAACAAAAAAAUAGGUCUCCGCAAAGUCGUAAGACAACGUAUGGGGGCUGACGCCUGCCCAGUGCCGGAAGGUUAAAGGAAUUGGUGAAAGCUGAUAACUGAAGCCCCGGUGAACGGCGGCCGUAACUCUAAAAUAACCGUUGGAGUUGUAAGAUCUUUCUAGUGAUAGAAAGGAAUUCCAAAUAUUGAGAAUUCGCUUAAAAAUAUUCUUUUUAAGUUAACAAUAAAGGACGGUUAAGGCUCUACAAAAGGGCCGUCAAUAAACUUUAUAUAAAAUAAAUUUAUAUUUAUAUAAAGAAAAAGCCUAAGGUAGAACCGCUGCCUUACUUGACCGUGAGGUCAAUACCAGGUCCUAUUUGAGAAAAUAGGAAGUCAAAUUUGUCCCCCCGUUACUUAUACGGGCCUCACGUACCCAGGACUCAUUUGGCAAAACAUUAUACAAGCGAAAUUCCUUGUCAAGUAAGUUUUGACCCGCACGAAAGGCGCAAUCAAAUGAAUACUGUCUCAGAGAGAGACUCGGUGAAAUAGACAUAUCCGUGAAGAUGCGGAUUUCCUUACAUCAGUACAAGAAGACCCCGUGAAGCUUGACUGUAUCUUGAUAUUGGUUUCCAGUUAUUUUUGUGCAGUCUAGGUGGGACCUAAAAGGUAACGGAGGUUUGCAAAGGUUUCCUCAAACUGGACGGAAAUCAGUUGUUGAGUGUAAAGGCAAAAGGAAGCUUGACUGCAAGACUUAUAAGUCGAGCAGAGGCGAAAGCCGGCCUUAAUGAUCCGACGGUAACCAAGUGGAAGGGCCGUCGCGCAAAAGAUAAAAGUUACUCCGGGGAAACAGGCUUAUCUUCCCCAAGAGUUCAUAUCGACGGGAAGGUUUGGCACCUUAAUUUAGGCGAUGUUGACUUUUCGCAACCUGGGGCGGUAGUAUGUCCCAAGGGUUGGGCUGUUCGCCCAUUAAAGCGGUACAUGAGUUGAGUGAAGUUCUGAGCUCAACUGUCAUAGAGACAGUUUGGUCUAUAUACGAUGUAAGCGUUAGAAUAUUGAGAGGACUUUUCCAUAAUACGAGAGGACUUGGAAGAACGUACCCCUGGUGUACCAGUUCUUAUACCAAUAGGACGCGCUGGGUAGCUAUGUACGGAAAAGAGAACUGCUGAAAGCAUCUAAGUAGGAAACUUACCUCAAGAUAAUUAUUCUCCAUUAGACUCCGGUUAGAUAAACCGGU
rnacentral:rRNA from 1 species